rnacentral:tRNA from 1 species
ACCAAAAUAGCUCAGUUGGGAGACUGUUAGACUGAAGACCUAAAGGUCCCUGGUUCAAUCCUGGGUUUUGCCA